rnacentral:rRNA from 1 species
GACGAACGCUGGCGGCGUGCUUAACACAUGCAAGUCGAACGGAAAGGCCCUGCUUUUGUGGGGUGCUCGAGUGGCGAACGGGUGAGUAACACGUGAGUAACCUGCCCUUGACUUUGGGAUAACUUCAGGAAACUGGGGCUAAUACCGGAUAGGAGCUCCUGCUGCAUGGUGGGGGUUGGAAAGUUUCGGCGGUUGGGGAUGGACUCGCGGCUUAUCAGCUUGUUGGUGGGGUAGUGGCUUACCAAGGCUUUGACGGGUAGCCGGCCUGAGAGGGUGACCGGCCACAUGGGGAAUGAGAUACGGCCCAGACUCCUACGGGAGGCAGCAGUGGGGAAUAUUGCACAAUGGGCGGAAGCCUGAUGCAGCAACGCCGCGUGCGGGAUGACGGCCUUCGGGUUGUAAACCGCUUUCGCCUGUGACGAAGCGUGAGUGACGGUAAUGGGGAAAGAAGCACCGGCUAACUACGU